AUGCAGUUCGAAAAAGAUAUGAAUCACCCAAUAGGGUCAUAUAAUUAUUCAACUGAUUUUCUGAACAGUUCAGGUAAAUCGCCCUUACUAAAUUCAUGUUCCCAACAUUUAAAUAAUAGUUAUAAUGUUUCUAGUAAACAACAUGAUAUGAUUAAUUCUAUACUUGAGAGUUGCGUUUUAAAAUGGUUUCCUUUUUUAAAUGAAACAGACAAUGAUGACAUAAAUGAUGAUAACGAAAAUGUGCAGUACGAGCAAAACGAAAGUAGCGAAAUAGUUGGUCACAUAAAUGGGCACACAUUUGAAAACACAACUGGGAACAUGAACUGUAAGUUAAAAAACGAAAUACUACACUUGAAACAAUUUUAUAAAGGAGUAAAGUCAUGCAACUUUCCCUUAAAACAAUUAUGCAAAACUCAAAGAACAAUUUUUAAUAUAAAUGAUGAAAAUUAUGAUGAAGACGUAUUUUAUAACAGUAAUAGUAUUUAUAUGAACAUGCUAAAUGAAAAUGAAAUAAAAAGCGUUAGUGAUAGUGAUGACAAUAUUAAUAAUAACAAUAAAAAUGAAUUAUGUUGGAACAAAUUUAUAAACGCUAAAAAUAAUAGUGAUGAAAAAAAACAAGUUGAUUAUUAUGAUAGUAAUAAACAAGAAAAAAAUAAUUGGAAUGAAACUACAACAUAUUACGAUUGUAUUUCUAAGGACGAACAAGAGAAAUUUUUCAUAAUUAAUAACAUUAAUAGCGACAUGAAUAAUAAAAUAGGUAGCCAUCCUUUGUAUACCAAUAAGCACAAAAAGAAAAGCAUAAAAUCAGAAUUGUUUCAAGAAACGAACUCAGCAAUGGAUAAAGAAAAAAAAAUAACAAAUUUAACAACUAGUUCAAACGUAUCAACAAUGAAAAAUAUAAUACUAAGGCCUGCACAAAAUGAAAACACGGAAGAUAAACAAUUUUAUGACCAAACAAUGAAAAAUAAAAUAAAAAAUGAUAUAAGAGUCAUUGAUCAAGAUAGUGACAGUAAUAAUAAUAAUAAAAAUAAUGAUAACCAUACCAGUACUAAUAUAAAAUUAUUUGAUAAUAGUAAAAAUAAUUAUUAUGCAGAAAACUAUGUGAAAAAUGAUAAUACCAUGUUUACAAACGAUAUAAAUAACGAAGAAUAUACAUUAAACAAAUACAAUAUAGCAGAAAAAUUAGAAGCUAUAAAGAAAGAAAAAAAAAAUGACACAAGAAUAUACGAUACUAAUAAUAACAGCAAAAACAAUGUAAAUGUAAAUGUAAAUGCAAAUGUAAAUGCAAAUGUAAAUGCAAAUGNNNNNNNNNNAAAUGCAAAUGUAAAUGCAAAUGUAAAUGCAAAUGUAAAUGUAAAUGUAAAUGUAAAGAAAGAAAAACAGCUUAAGAUAAACAUUGGAGAAAUUAAACAAACUAUAAUCGAUAAACAAGUAAAUAAUAAUAAAACUAGCCAAGAUGUUGAUAAUACUAGUAUAGAUUAUAUUGACAUAAGCAUAAAUAACAUAAUACAAAAGAUAAAAAAUGAAGAAAUAAAAGAAAAAAAUGUAACUAUGGACUCUUAUGGUUUAAUUUAUUUAAAUAUUUGUUUAAAAGUGAUAAAUAAAAAUUUAGAUUAUUUUGAAAAACAGAAAGAAUUAAAAAAUGAAUUAUUAAUAAAUGAAAAAAAAAAAUUAAAGAAAUAUUAA
rnacentral:lncRNA from 1 species